AUUGAACGCUGGCGGCAGGCUUAACACAUGCAAGUCGAGCGAGUGGCGGACGGGUGAGUAAUGUCUGGGAAACUGGCUGAUGGAGGGGGAUAACUACUGGAAACUGUAGCUAAUACCGCAUACCCUCGGAUGUGCCCAAAUGGGAUUAGCUAGUUGGUGGGGUAAUGGACCACCUAGGCGACGAUCACUAGCUGGUCUGAGAGGAUGACCAGCCACACUGGGACUGAGACACGGCCCAGACUCCUACGGGAGGCAGCAGUGGGGAAUAUUGCGCAAUGGGCGCAAGCCUGAUGCAGCCAUGCCGCGUGAGUGAAGAAGGCCUUCGGGUUGUAAAGUACUUUCGGCGAGGAGGCGUUACUCGCAGAAGAAGCACCGGCUAACUCCGUGCCAGCAGCCGCGGUAAUAC
rnacentral:rRNA from 1 species